rnacentral:rRNA from 1 species
UAGGGAAUCCUCCGCAAUGGACGCAAGUCUGACGGAGCAACGCCGCGUGAGUGAAGAAGGAUUUCGGUUCGUAAAACUCUGUUGUUAGAGAAGAACAGCGCAUAGAGUAACUGUUAUGCGUGUGACGGUAUCUAACCAGAAAGCCACGGCUAACUACGUGCCAGCAGCCGCGGUAAUACGUAGGUGGCAAGCGUUGUCCGGAUUUAUUGGGCGUAAAGCGAGCGCAGGCGGUCAAUUAAGUCUGAUGUGAAAGCCCCCGGCUCAACCGGGGAGGGUCAUUGGAAACUGGUUGACUUGAGUGCAGAAGAGGAGAGUGGAAUUCCAUGUGUAGCGGUGAAAUGCGUAGAUAUAUGGAGGAACACCGGUGGCGAAAGCGGCUCUCUGGUCUGUAACUGACGCUGAGGCUCGAAAGCGUGGGGAGCGAACAGG